rnacentral:lncRNA from 1 species
GUCAAUAAAGAUAUUCACACACUGUACUCUUUUUCCUUCGUCCAGGUUUUUAUCCUAUUGGAUUUUCCUAGCAAGCUUUUAACGAGGCAGUGUCGCACACGUGUCAAUAUACACAGAAUUUUAUGUUACACAUGGUUAUGUACUCUUUUUCCCUUCGACCAGUUUUUGUCCCACUAGGUUUUAUUGGCAAGGUUUUUAUCAAUGCACAUUCCAUACAUUGUAGUCUCCAAGAGGGAGUGUUGUAAAGAAAGUGGUGGAGCC